GGCUCGUUGGUCUAGGAGUAUGGUUCUCGCUUUGGGUGCGAGAUGUCCCGGGUUCAAAUCCCGGACGAGCCC
rfam:Tetraodon nigroviridis, WGS project CAAE01000000 data, contig: CNS0BQZQ, chromosome: undetermined